UCUCUCUUUUCUCUCUCUCUCUCUCUCUCUCUCUCUCUCUCUCUCGAGAUCGCCAUAGAAACCCCCACUACCUCCAUCAUGCCCUCCUCCUCCCUUUCCUUCUUCUCCCCCAAAUGGUCUCCUCCAAGCCCAACGACGAUGCCGCCGAUCUCAAUCUCCAAGCCGCAAUCCUCUAUUUCCUCUCUCUCCAAGAAGGAUGCGGCGAUGGGGUUGGUUUUGAGCGCAGCUACAGGGACUGGAUGGACCACAGGAUCAAAUAUGGAGGGUCCUUCAUCGCCGGCGGCGUUUGAAUCUGGUUCGCCGGACCAGACGGUGUCCACCUUCUCGUGGUCGCACUUCAACAAGUCCCCCCGCCGCCGGAUGCGUGUCGCCUUCACUGAUAUAACAUUAUAUUCUUGUUGUUUGUUCCUCUUUGUAGCUGGAGGGCUCGCCAAUUGUGGUUGCUCAGAAUGAGAAAUUCUCAGAGGUUGUUGGAGCUCUUGCUGUUACUAAAAACGAUAGAUUAUUGCAGCUAUAUGAUUUUUGUGUUGUAAAGCAUAUGAAGCUCUGGAAAACUGUGUUCAAGCUCAACAAUGGUGUAUAUUUUCUCUUCAUGCUCUUUUAUUGCAAGAUGAAAAACCUGAUCCUAAUGCAUUGAUGAACAUGUGUUUUCAUUAUAUUGCAUGUGUGUGCAUAUGCAACAUGAUGUUUUCACGAACCUAAUCCUGAUCCUGAUCAAUUUUCCUAAAUUUGACCAUGUUUUACUUUAGCUCUCUCUUCUUGCUUCUUUGUGUGUAGUUUUUCAGGUUCUUAUAAGCUUAUAAUCGAAAUAAGUAUGUUUUGUGAAGGGGAUAACUGCAGUUUAUUUUAUUUUGUUGUUGCUUAUUUUUAUAUAUAAAAUGCUUCCUUUCUGGCAGGUUG